AUACGUAGGGGGCGAGCGUUGUCCGGAAUGAUUGGGCGUAAAGGGCGCGUAGGCGGCGCGGUAAGUCUGGAGUGAAAGUCCUGCUUUCAAGGUGGGAAUUGCUUUGGAUACUGCCGCGCUUGAGUGCAGGAGAGGUUAUCGGAAUUCCCGGUGUAGCGGUGAAAUGCGUAGAGAUCGGGAGGAACACCAGUGGCGAAGGCGGGUAACUGGACUGCAACUGACGCUGAGGCGCGAAAGUGUGGAGAGCAAACAGGAUUAGAUACCCUGGUAGUCCACACUGUAAACGAUGAAUGCUAGGUGUAAGAGGUAUCGACCCCUUUUGUGCCGGAGUCAACACAAUAAGCAUUCCGCCUGGGGAGUACGGCCGCAAGGUUGAAACUCAAAUGAAUUGACGGGG
rnacentral:rRNA from 1 species